AUUGAACGCUGGCGGCAGGCCUAACACAUGCAAGUCGAGCGCGCGGCGGACGGGUGAGUAAUGUCUGGGAAACUGCCUGAUGGAGGGGGAGAACUACUGGAAAAGGUAGCUAAUACCGCAUACCAUCAGAGGUGCCCAGAGGGGAGUAGCUAGUAGGUGGGGUAACGGCUAACCUAGGCGACGAGCCCUAGCUGGUCUGAGAGGAUGACCCGCCACACUGGAACUGAGACACGGUCCAGACUCCUACGGGAGGCAGCAGUGGGGAAUAUUGCACAAUGGGCGCAAGCCUGAUGCAGCCAUGCCGCGUGUGUGAAGAAGGCCUUCGGGUUGUAAAGCACUUUCAGCGGGGAGGCGUUACCCGCAGAAGAAGCACCGGCUAACUCCGUGCCAGCAGCCGCGGUAAUUC
rnacentral:rRNA from 1 species